rnacentral:rRNA from 1 species
GUAGUCCCGGCCGUAAACGAUGUCGACUUGGAGGUUGUGCCCUUGAGGCGUGGCUUCCGGAGCUAACGCGUUAAGUCGACCGCCUGGGGAGUACGGCCGCAAGGUUAAAACUCAAAUGAAUUGACGGGGGCCCGCACAAGCGGUGGAGCAUGUGGUUUAAUUCGAUGCAACGCGAAGAACCUUACCUGGUCUUGACAUCCACGGAAGUUUUCAGAGAUGAGAAUGUGCCUUCGGGAACCGUGAGACAGGUGCUGCAUGGCUGUCGUCAGCUCGUGUUGUGAAAUGUUGGGUUAAGUCCCGCAACGAGCGCAACCCUUAUCCUUUGUUGCCAGCGGUCCGGCCGGGAACUCAAAGGAGACUGUUAGUGAUAAACUGGAGGAAGGUGGGGAUGACGUCAAGUCAUCAUGGCCCUUACGACCAGGGCUACACACGUGCUACAAUGGCGCAUACAAAGAGAAGCGACCUCGCGAGAGCAAGCGGACCUCAUAAAGUGCGUCGUAGUCCGGAUUGGAGUCUGCAACUCGACUCCAUGAAGUCGGAAUCGCUAGUAAUCGUGGAUCAGAAUGCCACGGUGAAUACGUUCCCGGGCCUUGUACACACCGCCCGUCACACCAUGGGAGUGGGUUGCAAAAGAAGUAGGUAGCUUAACCUUCGGGAGGGCGCUUACCACUUUGUGAUUCAUGACUGGGGUGAAGUCGUAACAAGGUAACCGUAGGGGAACCUGCGGCUGGAUCACCUCC